rnacentral:rRNA from 1 species
GAUGAACGCUGGCGGCGUGCCUAAUACAUGCAAGUCGAGCGAACUGAUUAGAAGCUUGCUUCUAUGACGUUAGCGGCGGACGGGUGAGUAACACGUGGGCAACCUGCCUGUAAGACUGGGAUAACUCCGGGAAACCGGAGCUAAUACCGGAUAAUAUUUUCUCUUGCAUAAGAGAAAAUUGAAAGAUGGUUUCGGCUAUCACUUACAGAUGGGCCCGCGGUGCAUUAGCUAGUUGGUGGGGUAACGGCUCACCAAGGCAACGAUGCAUAGCCGACCUGAGAGGGUGAUCGGCCACACUGGGACUGAGACACGGCCCAGACUCCUACGGGAGGCAGCAGUAGGGAAUCUUCCGCAAUGGACGAAAGUCUGACGGAGCAACGCCGCGUGAGUGAUGAAGGCUUUCGGGUCGUAAAACUCUGUUGUUAGAGAGGAACAAGUACAAGAGUAACUGCUUGUACCUUGACGGUACCUAACCAGAAAGCCACGGCUAACUACGUGCCAGCAGCCGCAGUAA